rnacentral:rRNA from 1 species
UACGUAGGGUGCGAGCGUUGUCCGGAAUUAUUGGGCGUAAAGAGCUCGUAGGCGGUGUGUCACGUCGGCCGUGAAAACCUGCAGCUUAACUGUGGGCGUGCGGUCGAUACGGGCAUCACUGGAGUUCGGCAGGGGAGACUGGAAUUCCUGGUGUAGCGGUGAAAUGCGCAGAUGUCAGGAGGAACACCGGUGGCGAAGGCGGUUCUCUGGGCCUUACCUGACGCUGAGGAGCGAAAGCGUGGGGAGCGAACAGG